AUGAUGUACGCCGUCAUGGUGGGCAUCGGCACGGGGCAUCAGUCCAAGAGCUACAAACUCGCGCUAGACAUGGCGACCGGGCUGACCUGGAUGCAGUGCGCCCCGUGCCACCCCUGCCUGCGACAAUACAACCCGGUGUUCGACCCAACCCAGUCCCCGACCUUCCAUCAUGUUUCAGCGAAUGAUGGCAUUUUGUGUCAUGCACUGUACAAACCGCAUCAAAACGGUAUGUGCGGGUUCGAAGUCGGCUUCUUGAGCAGCCAUGGGUCGGCUUCGGGAGUCCUCGCCAAGGACACCUUCUCCUUCCCCAAAAGUGGCCACGAAGUUCGGUUUGAGCUACUGCCUGGCAUGGUCUUUGGUUGCGCCCACCACACCGAGCACUUCAACACCCACGAAGUCCUUGCCGGUGUCCUCGGCCUGGGAAUGUGGAAAUCCAGCAAGCCACCUACCUUCUUCACGAAGCAGAUCAAUCAAGGCGAAGGUGUGCGCUUCUCUUACUGCCCGUUCCCACCGGGGAUGAGCACGUACAACUUUCUUCGGUUUGGCAACGACAUUCCUAGCCAUCCAUUGCCAAACGUGCAUCGCCAGAGUACACCCAUUCUUAUGCCAGCCCAAGCAAACGACGGGUACUACGUCAAGCUUACUGGGGUCAGCGUGGGCGGCAUCCGGGUGUCCAGCGUCACACCAGAGAUGUUUCGGCGUGGUGCGAGAGGGAAAGGUGGGUGUGUGAUCGACAUUGGCACAAAGAUGAGUGUGUUUGUGAAUGAGGCAUACAUCCACAUAGAGUCGGCGGUGCGACACUACCUGCAGAUCCACGGGGCACAACCCGUGCAGCUGCACGGCCACCACCUAUGUGUCCACAAGUCGUCGGCCCACCGUGACGUCCUCCCGAGCAUGACGUUGCAUUUCGAUAACAACGCGGGGCUCCGGGUCAUGCCGGAGCAUGUGUUUCUCGAGAUCGUCCAUGCUAACAUCCACUAUAUGUGCAUCGCCUUCUUCCCGUCUUUGGAGUUGACAGUCAUCGGCGCAAGGCAACAGAUCAACCACCGCUUCAUCUUCGACCUUCAUGCUCGGACACCCACUAUUAGCUUCAAUCCAGAGAAUUGCCACCUCGAUGCUGGCACCCAAAGCUAA
rnacentral:rRNA from 1 species